rnacentral:snRNA from 1 species
GUGCUUGCUUCGGCAGCAGAUGUACUAAACUUGGAACAAUACAGAGAUUAGCAUGGCCUCUGUGCUAAGAUGACAAGCAAAUUUGUGAAGUGUUCCAUAUUUUG